rnacentral:SRP_RNA from 1 species
GCUGGGCAUCGUGGCGCGUGCCUGUAAUCCCAGCUACUCGGGAGGCUGAGGCAGGAGAAUUGCCUGAACCCAGGAGGUGGAGGUUGCGGUGAGCUGAGACCGCGCCAUUGCACUCCAGCCUGGGUAACAAGAGUGAAACUCCGUCUCAAAAAAAAAAAAAAAAAAAGUGAGCAAAGGACAUGAACAGACACUUUUCAAAAGACAAUAUAUAUGCAGCCAAUGAUCUUUUUUUUUUUUUGAGACAGAGUUUCACUCUUGUUCCCCAAGCUGGAGUGCAAUGGCGCGAUCUCGGCUCACCGCAACCUCCGCCUCCUGGGUUCAGGCAAUUCUCCUGCCUCA